rnacentral:rRNA from 1 species
CAGUAGCCGCGGUAAUACGAAGGGGGCUAGCGUUGUUCGGAUUUACUGGGCGUAAAGCGCACGUAGGCGGACUUUUAAGUCAGGGGUGAAAUCCCGGGGCCCAACCCCGGAACUGCCUUUGAUACUGGAAGUCUUGAGUAUGGUAGAGGUGGGUGGAAUUCCGAGUGUAGAGGUGAAAUUCGUAGAUAUUCGGAGGAACACCAGUGGCGAAGGCGGCUCACUGGACCAUUACUGACGCUGAGGUGCGAAAGCGUGGGGAGCAAACAGGAUUAGAUACCCCCGUAGUCCCUGUCUCUUAUAC